rnacentral:ncRNA from 1 species
AAAUAAGUAAAUAAAUAAGAGAGUAACUUUGACUUAAAUGUUCCUCAUGCAUACUAUGACUUAUGGCUUAAAUCAUCAUUUUUAUAAUAUUCUAUCAUUUAGAAGUCUUUUUUUUAAUGACUAAAAAUUUAAAGAUUAUUGCUUUCCUUUUAUCCGCUAUCAAUUCCAUCAUUUUAUAUAAUUAAAUGCAGUGGUUAUUUCUGAUAAAUAAGGACUCAGUAGAAAAAAAAGUUUUUUCGGAAAAUAAGGCUAAUUGAAAAACUCCAUUUGUACCAGAAUUCACAUCAGAGACUGGAGUCAAAGGCAAUGUCAGCUGAAUUUUUACUGGGAUAGACUGCUAGUACAUAACGAAAAUGCCCUAAGGCUAGUUCAAAGGGGACGGAAACUUUUCAUAAAGUAAGAGAACAAAAGCUCGCUUGAUCUCGAUUUUUAGUGCAAUUACAGACGAAAGCAUAGCCUAUCAAUGCUUUUGAAUCAGAAAAUCUCACGAGGUGUCAAGAUGUUACAGGGAGAACCGACUUCUGGACCAUUUAUAGCGAUAUUACCUUUUCAUCUUUCCAUGUCAGCUCUUCCUAUCAGAGGAGUUGUGCAGCAGAAUUCACCAAGUGUUUGAUUGUUCAAUAGGGAACGUGAGCUGGAUUUAGACUGGGUUUAGAGGCAGGCUAGCUUUAUCCCACUGAUUAUUUCGAUAAAAAUCCUGCUUAGAACGAGAGAAACAACAGGUUCAGACAUUCGGCUAAUAUUCUCGGCCGAUCGGCCAAUGCUACGAUGCUAUCAUUUGCAGGCUUUUAUCCCGUCCAAGCAUGGCAACGAUAACAUUACUUAUCGAUAUCGAGAGACAAAUCUAUUUAGAUGUGCGCAUCUAUGAUGUUAGUCCUACGAGAUGGUCUUGUUAUACGUGUUGAAUAAAUCCAUAGUUGCCAAAACUGGUUUCAAAAAAAAUUUGCUACCAAUAUCCGGGCGCGAAAUCACUAUUAAGCGCCAUGAUUACUGGUCAAGAUAUUGUCAGUAGAGCAACCUCUACAUUGCGAUCUGUUGAGAUUUAAUUGCUAUUUGUCUUAAAUUU